UACGAAGGGUGCAAGCGUUACUCGGAAUUACUGGGCGUAAAGCGUGCGUAGGUGGUUUGUUAAGUCUGUUGUGAAAGCCCCCGGGCUCAACCUGGGAAUGGCAAUGGAUACUGGCAAGCUAGAGUGCGGUAGAGGGUAGUGGAAUUCCCGGUGUAGCGGUGAAAUGCGUAGAGAUCGGGAGGAACACCAGUGGCGAAGGCGGCUACCUGGACCAGCACUGACAC
rnacentral:rRNA from 1 species